rnacentral:rRNA from 1 species
GGGUUGUGAGGUUAAGCGACUAAGCGUACACGGUGGAUGCCUAGGCAGUCAGAGGCGAUGAAGGGCGUGCUAAUCUGCGAUAAGCGUCGGUAAGCUGAUAUGAAGCGUUAUACCCGACGAUACCCGAAUGGGGAAACCCAGUGUGUUUCGACACACUAUCAUGACAUGAAUACAUAGUGUCAUGAGGCGAACCGGGGGAACUGAAACAUCUCAGUACCCCGAGGAAAAGAAAUCAACCGAGAUUCCCCCAGUAGCGGCGAGCGAACGGGGAGGAGCCCAGAACCUGAAUCAGUUUGUGUGUUAGUGGAAGCGUCUGGAAAGUCGCACAGUAAAGGGUGAUAGUCCCGUACACAAAAAUGCACAAGCUGUGAGUUCGAUGAGUAGGGCGGGACACGUGACAUCCUGUCUGAAUAUGGGGGGACCAUCCUCCAAGGCUAAAUACUCCUGACUGACCGAUAGUGAACCAGUACCGUGAGGGAAAGGCGAAAAGAACCCCGGCGAGGGGAGUGAAAUAGAACCUGAAACCGUGUACGUACAAGCAGUGGGAGCCUACUUGUUAGGUGACUGCGUACCUUUUGUAUAAUGGGUCAGCGACUUAUAUUCUGUAGCAAGGUUAACCGUAUAGGGGAGCCGCAGGGAAACCGAGUCUUAACUGGGCGUUAAGUUGCAGGGUAUAGACCCGAAACCCGGUGAUCUAGCCAUGGGCAGGUUGAAGGUUGGGUAACACUAACUGGAGGACCGAACCGACUAAUGUUGAAAAAAUUAGCGGAUGACUUGUGGCUGGGGGGUGAAAGGCCAAUCAAACCGGGAGAUAGCUGGUUCUCCCCGAAAGCUAUUUAGGUAGCGCCUCGUGAACUCAUCUUCGGGGGGUAGAGCACUGUUUCGGCUAGGGGGGUCAUCCCGACUUACCAACCCGAUGCAAACUACGAAUACCGAAGAAUGUUAUCACGGGAGACACACGGCGGGUGCUAACGUUCGUCGUGAAGAGGGAAACAACCCAGACCGCCAGCUAAGGUCCCAAAGUCAUGGUUAAGUGGGAAACGAUGUGGGAAGGCACAGACAGCCAGGAUGUUGGCUUAGAAGCAGCCAUCAUUUAAAGAAAGCGUAAUAGCUCACUGGUCGAGUCGGCCUGCGCGGAAGAUGUAACGGGGGCUAAACCAUGCACCGAAGCUGCGGCAGCGACACUUAGGUGUUGUUGGGUAGGGGAGCGUUCUGUAAGCCUGCGAAGGUGGCCUGUGAGGGCUGCUGGAGGUAUCAGAAGUGCGAAUGCUGACAUAAGUAACGAUAAUGCGGGUGAAAAACCCGCACGCCGGAAGACCAAGGGUUCCUGUCCAACGUUAAUCGGGGCAGGGGUGAGUCGACCCCUAAGGCGAGGCUGAAAAGCGUAGUCGAUGGGAAACAGGUUAAUAUUCCUGUACUCGGUGUUACUGCGAAGGGGGGACGGAGAAAGCUAGGUUAUCCGGGCGACGGUUGUCCCGGUUUAAGCGUGAAGGUGGAUGACUUUGGUAAAUCCGGGUCAUCGUUAACACUGAGGCGUGAUGACGAGUCACUACGGUGAUGAAGUAACCGAUGCUACGCUUCCAGGAAAAGCCUCUAAGCUCCAGGUAACAUCAAAUCGUACCCCCAAACCGACACAGGUGGUCAGGUAGAGAAUACUCAGGCGCUUGAGAGAACUCGGGUGAAGGAACUAGGCAAAAAUGGUGCCGUAACUUCGGGAGAAGGCACGCUGAUGGUAAGUGAAGUGACUUGCUCAUGGAGCUGAAAUCAGUCGAAGAUACCAGCUGGCUGCAACUGUUUAAUAAAAACACAGCACUGUGCAAACACGAAAGUGGACGUAUACGGUGUGACGCCUGCCCGGUGCCGGAAGGUUAAUUGAUGGGGUCAGCCGCAAGGCGAAGCUCUUGAUCGAAGCCCCGGUAAACGGCGGCCGUAACUAUAACGGUCCUAAGGUAGCGAAAUUCCUUGUCGGGUAAGUUCCGACCUGCACGAAUGGCGUAAUGAUGGCCAGGCUGUCUCCACCCGAGACUCAGUGAAAUUGAACUCGCUGUGAAGAUGCAGUGUACCCGCGGCAAGACGGAAAGACCCCGUGAACCUUUACUAUAGCUUGACACUGAACCUUGAGCCUUGAUGUGUAGGAUAGGUGGGAGGCUUUGAAGUGUGGACGCCAGUCUGCAUGGAGCCAACCUUGAAAUACCACCCUUUAAUGUUUGAUGUUCUAACGUGGACCCGUGAUCCGGGUUGCGGACAGUGUCUGGUGGGUAGUUUGACUGGGGCGGUCUCCUCCCAAAGCGUAACGGAGGAGCACGAAGGUUAGCUAAUCCUGGUCGGACAUCAGGAGGUUAGUGCAAAGGCAUAAGCUAGCUUGACUGCGAGAGUGACAGCUCGAGCAGGUGCGAAAGCAGGUCUUAGUGAUCCGGUGGUUCUGAAUGGAAGGGCCAUCGCUCAACGGAUAAAAGGUACUCCGGGGAUAACAGGCUGAUACCGCCCAAGAGUUCAUAUCGACGGCGGUGUUUGGCACCUCGAUGUCGGCUCAUCACAUCCUGGGGCUGAAGUAGGUCCCAAGGGUAUGGCUGUUCGCCAUUUAAAGUGGUACGCGAGCUGGGUUUAGAACGUCGUGAGACAGUUCGGUCCCUAUCUGCCGUGGGCGUUGGAAGAUUGAGAGGGGUUGCUCCUAGUACGAGAGGACCGGAGUGAACGCACCACUGGUGUACGGGUUGUGAUGCCAAUUGCAUUGCCCGGUAGCUAAGUGCGGAAGAGAUAACCGCUGAAAGCAUCUAAGCGGGAAACUUGCCUCGAGAUGAGUCUUCCCUGGGCACCAGAUGCCCCUGAAGGGCCGUUGAAGACGACGACGUAGAUAGGCUGGGUGUGUAAGCGUAGCGAUACGUUGAGCUAACCAGUACUAAUGACCCGAGAGGCUUAACCUUACAACACCGAAGGUGUUU